UUACGGCCGUAACACGUUGAAACACCUGUUCUAAUAUGAUCAGCGAAGUUAAGGAACGUCGAGCCUAAUCAGUACCUAGAUGGGUGACCGCUUGGGAAUUUCAGGUGCUGUAA